GAUGGAGCUCUUAGGGAGGACAAGCUGCUGAUUCCAUUUCCUUCAUUUGUGAUCUUGGUUCUUCUCACAUUCUAUUCUCCAUCCACAAGAGUUAAAAUUAUACUUGUAGAUGUAGCUCUUAAGGAGGACGAGCCUCUGAUUCCACUUCCUUCAUUUGUGAUCUUGGUUCUUCUCACAUUCUCUUCUCCAUCCACAAGAGUUAAAAUUUCGUUCAGAAAUACACAAAAUCGAAAGGAGAUAUACGCAUAUCAGCUGGGAAAUUUGAACAGGAGAAGGAUUCGACAUCUGAUCCACGGUGUGUGAGAGAGAGACGAGAUGACGAUUGCGUGAGAGAGAGAAUCCGUGUGUUAGCUCGUCGGAGAUCUCAACGGAACGAUGACGAUGACUUUCGAUGACGACGACUACGACGAUGAUGAUGGCUUUCGAUGACGACGAUGACGCGACGGAUCCGGAGGAGAGAAACGAUGGUCUCGACAGAGAGAAGAAGGUAACGACGGAGAGAGGUGAUAUGUUAGAGAUAAAGUAGGGUUAAUUUAGUCUUUUUCACACUACUGAAAAGUGUAUUUGUGAAAAUGUCCCUAAAGUGGUGGUAAAUUUGAAUUGUGGUACUACACAAAGUGUAGUUAUG